GAACCACAAGGGCCGGUGCAACCACAACAUUGAUUAUUGACAGGCGGAGAGCUACACAAUAAAUUGGUGUAGUUGGCAGGGCUGUGUGAUUGCACUUGGAAUUAACCAAGGGUGAUGCCUCUUGACCUGCAGCUUGCUGAACAACCGUCUGACUCAGGACACAAUUGGAAACAUUAUUUAAUUCCCAAGACUUUGACUGGAAGGUAUUAUUUGAGAAUGUGCAUGGACUCAGAUAUGACCAGACAGUUUGGAAAGCCAACCUCGUAGCCUGCUUACAGGGUUCCUGGCAGCCUUAUCAGGCCUCAGCUCUACAAACUAAUGUUUCCAGUUUUUCUCCCACCCUCUGACUUGGAAUCAUUGAGAACUAAAACUGCCUUUUUCCUA